GAGCAUGUGGUUUAAUUCGAAGCAACGCGAAGAACCUUACCAGGUCUUGACAUCCUUUGACCAUCCUAGAGAUAGGAUUUUCCCUUCGGGGACAAAGUGACAGGUGGUGCAUGGUUGUCGUCAGCUCGUGUCGUGAGAUGUUGGGUUAAGUCCCGCAACGAGCGCAACCCUUAUUGUUAGUUGCCAUCAUUCAGUUGGGCACUCUAGCGAGACUGCCGCAGACAAUGCGGAGGAAGGUGGGGAUGACGUCAAAUCAUCAUGCCCCUUAUGACCUGGGCUACACACGUGCUACAAUGGAGAGUACAACGAGUCGCAAAGCCGCGAGGCUAAGCCAAUCUCUUAAAGCUCUUCUCAGUUCGGAUUGUAGGCUGCAACUCGCCUACAUGAAGCCGGAAUCGCUAGUAAUCGCGGAUCAGCACGCCGCGGUGAAUACGUUCCCGGGUCUUGUACACACCGCCCGUCACACCACGAGAGUUUGUAACACCCAAAGCCGGUGCGGUAACCGCAAGGAGCCAGCCGUCUAAGGUGGGAUAGAUGAUUGGGGUGAAGUCGUAACAAGGUAGCCGUAUCGGAAGGUGCGGCUGGAUCACCUCCUU
rnacentral:rRNA from 1 species